UGUGUGUGUGUGUCUCUCUCUCUCUCUCUCUUCCGAACCUUCCCCGACCUCGAUCGGGACAAAAAGAUGUCGAGGGCACGUAUGCCGGAUCGACUUGUUACCUUCUUCGAGGGCACUGGCGCCGGUGCCCCCGAAACCCUGGGCAGCAUCGGUUCGACCCACUAAACGACCCGGCGCUCAUGUUCGAAGCCGCGGGCUGCGCGUUCCUGCAGUUCAAGUAGUUUAGGUUCGAGUUCAGACACGUGACGUAGGAAACCCUCUAUACCCUGUUCCUCUAAGAACUAACCCUUAGGUUCCAGAACUUCUUCCUUCGCGACCUAGAGCGGCUACUAUACGUCCUGCGACAGCUGCUGAAGUAGGAGUGGUACCUCGGGUCAACGUCUUUGUUCUUGAACUACCACGUCUCUUUCUAGUUUCGGUCGACGGGAAAGGUUCUAGACUUCUUCUCCCAUCUACUGCACAGCCCGGCCACGGCGUCGUUCACCUUCACCCUCUUGUUGUUCAGACAACUUGGGAAGAGGUCGAAUAAAAGUUCUUACUUGCGGUUUAGGUCGCGGGGGUCGUUUGUCGGAGGAGCUCCAGGUAAACAGGUGUUCCUACUCAGUCUCAAUCAACCAGACGUCAAGAGCCCCAUGCUUGAGAAGUGUAUGGACCAUCUACUUUUUGGCGUCGAUUUUUACCGUAGGUAACAACCUUACCGACCCUACCCGUUUUGUUGGGAACGGGUGGAACAAAUACCCCUGUUCCUCUAACCUUUAUUCAAGGUCACGGCUCGAAAACACAGGCAGUGAGGUUGAGGGCUGUACUUCCUCCGAGAGUGUUCAUAAGAGGUUGUUGAUCUUCGACUUGGUGGACGACCGUGGGUUCGUUCUUGUCGUCUUGUUUAGUAGGUGUGGUAUAGGUCAAAGGAUCUCCUGUUUUCCAUGGACCAUUAUUAACUACUGUAUACCGUAGCACGUCUUACCCUGUAGUAGUCCUCCCGAAAGGGUCUUUUAUUAGAACCGUCAUCUUAAUAGUAGUGUUGAGCAUAACUAAGACAUGGUCCUCUACUAAACCUAUUAUCGUUCGAGAUGUAGUCUUACUUAGGAUCUACCCCAAGACUUUUCCUAUCUACCCAGAUGCCUCUACUAUCUUCUACCGAGAUGUCGGUACUACUCCUUCUCCUUCUACAGCAACGAGCCUACUUCGGACUGUAACAAGCUCUUCCAAAACUGACACUGGUAGGAUAACACACGUACACAUUACCACAAGGCAAUCGUGAUUAAACGUACAAGAGUCGUUACCGUUACCAGGAGGUUCUCGUUGUUCUUGCUGAUCCCCUUUUACAUUUCCGUACACUACACGUUCUAUUCUAAAAGUUUGUUCAAUUCCUUUUGCCUUAAGUCUUGUGAGGUCCCAAACUUGGCAACCAUCUCUCAAACGUCGAACCGAUGUGGCUAGAAGGAGUGGUAUACAACUUCUGGACGAACAACAUGACGUCACAUAUGGGAGUCUUAAUGGGAAAAGUGUACUUACUAAACCAGUACUCUACCCAGCGACUUCCUAAAUAAAUAUUUCUCCUAUGUCCUUUUCUAAUAAAGUUUCUCGAAACGUUGUCCCCUAAAUACGACAUACACCUCUCAGGCAUACCGUACGGGACGAUGUUUUACUUAGGCUACUACGCCUUAAAGGAAUCUACCUUUAGUGUACUUCUAUCAAAGUAAUGAACGUCAAGACUGUAGUGUGGCGGUAUACGUACAGGUUAGGUAGCCGAUACAUAACUACUAAUAGAUCAACUACUGUCACGCCACCUCCACCACCUAUGGAACAACCUUGACCUAACCAGGGUCUAAGCUAGAGAACAAAAAAUAUUCCACGAUUCCCUAUACAGGGAAAACUCUUCAACCUUGCACACGCCCACAACCUAGAAGUUAUAGUAGUAGUAGUAGAACUUAAGCUUUUCAGAGCAGCACUAGGUAAACUCAUAAAACCUAAGCUCCGGGAACCUUUAGUCGUACACUUCCUAUAUACACCUCACGAGAGACACUCCGUGGAUAAGCCGGAUCUUCCCUGUCGUUAGUCACUCUAUGGUGGCCUUUAUCGUUCCGACGUCGUAGACCUCUGAAACGUCCAUUCUAAGUGUACCUAGUGUCUCAAUGGGUUAUUCUAACCCCUGGAUUUUGUCAAUUUCUGAGAUUAGCACUCAGUGUUGCGAUUCGACCGUUUCGACGGUUCCCUCUAUCCCCUAGACGUUGUAAAUCUCUGAGACAUGGACUCGAUAUCGUUGUACUAGUGCCUCAACGGUGUACUCUAGCCCUUGGAGGUCUUAAACCUCUUAGACUUGGACGUACCCUGGUACGACCAUCUCGAGGGACGCCUCUGACCCUUCAACGUCGUAAACUUUUUCGACACACACCCGAGGAGCGGUUACCAGUGUUACGAUGGAUCACUUUAGCCACUGGACGUCGUCAAUCUCUGUAACCUGGACUCAAUGUUGUCUCCCGAGUGUGUUGAAGGAGCACUCUACCCCUUUGACGUCUUAAACUUCGCCGACGAGAACUUACUAUAUCCCCACCACUUCUAUGGUUCCCUUUAGCCUACCGACUUCUUCGAUCUCUAAAACUUUAAUCUGCUAUGGUAGUCACGCGAUGGGACCCUUCGAUCAGUAGAGAGCUUUGACCUCCCUCGCGGGUUCACGCAGGCGGUUCGGACCUUCUUCUCACUAGAACACAGACUCAAUCGGCCCCUCUAGAACAGGUAAGCUGACCAGUUAGCCAGGUGACUAUCGCCCCCGGAUUAGCAACCGUCUUUUGUGUACCCUUAAGGUGCCACAUAGUUCCUAGUGAAGUUACUGGAAUCAAGGAACCUAUAGUCCUAUACGUUUGACCUGCUCGCCCUGGAGUUCUAAGACGCCCUCUACAUGGACCCGCUUGAGUGCGAUUCCAAACUUCAGCAGGGUUCUUUCGGGUAUCGGUAGUCGCCACUUCCUAAGGGUACGGAGUACGUUGAGCAACAACUGUCGGCAACACACGGUACCAAAUGGAAGGUCCUUCCUCGCUACGGCACCGACGUAUCCGAACUCAAGCUCAAGGUCAAGAUGCCACCGGGUGGAGGUCGACGUUUAUUUCCUCUGGGAGUCGACCCAUAGUUCGUGGAGCCCUCGGAGCUCACCCAGCUUAAAUAUACGUUGCUCCUUACCAUACCUCCUCGUCGUCUCUCGUCCUCGGGCACGUACUCGCUGUACUAACUGUACCGGUCCUUUCUUCGGGUCCUCGUAGGGUUGUUCUAGAUGAAAGAACAGUGACCGGCGCUCUUUCUCCUUAAAGGUCGUUAGUUCCUCUCGCGUGUCCGAAGGUCGUCGCCCUGUUCGUUCUAGCUGCUGUGAGGUUUAUCACCCUCCCCGCUCUAGGUCCUCCUCCUUCUCUGAAAAGGUUCCUUGCUCUCGGCUUUCCAAAGGCCGUCACCCUGCUGACCGCUCUAGGUCCUUCUUCGCACUAACCCAAAGAAUGGCUCAUAACGACUCCAACCGACCGACCAAUAAAGUAGUAGCAUUAAUUGCUGACGGAGUUAUAUUAGAUAGACGUUGGUAGAAGUUGAUAUAUAGAUACGUACCGAGAAGAAGAAGUCCGAAAGAGGUAGACUACGAUCGACAACGAAUUAAAGCCAACAGUAUACGUUGUUUUCGAAGGUUCAACUCAACCGGGAAGUUUCGGUGGACAUAGACAUAUACAUACGGUGAAGUUUCCUCGCAGACGGAACGUCGCACCUUGUGAAACUUAAUCCCGGGCCGGGCCAUAACAGUACAUUAAAUUAACAUUAGGGAAGUUUCCCUCGGUUGUUAAACGAGGAGAAUAGAUCAUCUGAUCCAAAAUAGUACGUGAAUUAACGAUGGUUUUGAGAGAACAAUAAUAAUACAUUUUUAUUUACAUUACAAAAAACAAAAAGCAAACAUUAGCUUUCGUCUCUAAUAUAUAUCUACCGAUGCGAGUUCG
rnacentral:rRNA from 1 species